UACGAAGGGGGCGAGCGUUGUUCGGAAUUACUGGGCGUAAAGGGCGCGUAGGCGGCCGAUCAAGUCAGAUGUGAAAGUCCUGGGCUUAACCUGGGGACUGCAUUUGAUACUGAUUGGCUUGAAUUCGGGAGAGGAUAGCGUAAUUCCCAGUGUAGAGGUGAAAUUCGUAGAUAUUGGGAAGAACACCGGUGGCGAAGGCGGCUAUCUGGACCGACAUUGACGCUGAGGCGCGAAAGCGUGGGGAGCAAACAGG
rnacentral:rRNA from 1 species